rnacentral:lncRNA from 1 species
UUUUUGGUAGGAAUAACAAUAUUAUUAGAUCAAUGAGAGGAUUAAACUAUAAACACAAAAUAGCGUAGAUGCUAACUGAAACGACAAUAAUAUAGAUUGUAUGGCUAUCUUAAAUCAUAAGGAGGCAUCAAAAUUGACAGCUAUGUAGCACAAUACAUAAAAAGUGUACUAAUAAUUAUAUUUAUCUAAAUCAGUAUUAAUUCCUAUUCUAUUGGUAUUUGGUAAUCAUAUUUUGUCGUGCGUGCAAGGAUUGACUCAUGUACAAUAGUUUUCCUAAAAAAAAAAAACUUUAAGAAAAUAUCAUAUUUGAACUUUGCUUAUCCAAGUCUUGAAUCAAUUGAGCAUAAGAGGUUGGUACCUCUCC